AGUGAACGCUGGCGGUAGGCCUAACACAUGCAAGUCGAACGGCAGCACAGUAAUAGCUUGCUUUUACGGGUGGCGCGUGUCGGACGGGUGAGGAAUACAUCGGAAUCUACUUUUUCGUGGUGGAUAACGUAGGGAAACUUACGCUAAUACCGCAUACGACCUACGGGUGAAAGCAUGGGAUCUUCGGACCUUGCUCGUCUGAAUGAGCCGAUGUCGGAUUAGCUAGUUGGCGGGGUAAAGGCCCACCAAGGCGACGAUCCGUAGCUGGUCUGAGAGGAUGAUCAGACACACUAGAAUUGAGACAAGGUACAGACUCAUAAGAGAGGCAGAGGAGGGGAAUAUUGGACAAUGGGGGCAAGCAUGAUCCAAACAUACCGCGUGGCUGAAGAAGAGCUUGGAGUUGUGAAGCCCAUUUGUUGGGAAAGAAAAGCAAAAGGUUACUACCCCGAUGUUCUGACGGUACCAAAAGAAUAAGCACCGGCUAACUACGUG
rnacentral:rRNA from 1 species